rnacentral:rRNA from 1 species
GACGAACGCUGGCGGCGUGCUUAACACAUGCAAGUCGAACGGAAAGGCCCUGCUUUUGUGGGGUGCUCGAGUGGCGAACGGGUGAGUAACACGUGAGUAACCUGCCCUUGACUUUGGGAUAACUUCAGGAAACUGGGGCUAAUACCGGAUAGGAGCUCCUGCUGCAUGGUGGGGGUUGGAAAGUUUCGGCGGUUGGGGAUGGACUCGCGGCUUAUCAGCUUGUUGGUGGGGUAGUGGCUUACCAAGGCUUUGACGGGUAGCCGGCCUGAGAGGGUGACCGGCCAACUUGGGACUGAGAUACGGCCCAGACUCCUACGGGAGGCAGCAGUGGGGAAUAUUGCACAAUGGGCGGAAGCCUGAUGCAGCAACGCCGCGUGCGGGAUGACGGCCUUCGGGUUGUAAACCGCUUUCGCCUGUGACGAAGCGUGAGUGACGGUAAUGGGUAAAGAAGCACCGGCUAACUACGU